AUUUUUUAUAGCAAGUAAAAUUGUUUCUAAAAAUUUCAGUAAUAAAAUAUAAUAUCUGAAUGGUCUAACUAUAUAUGUUUUUUGGUAUAUUUUAAAGCUUUUGAUUGUUAAAGAUAAAAUAUAAAUUUCUAGGUAUGUGGCAGUGUCAUAGAAUAUCUGGAAAUGUAAAUAUUGCUUUUGUUAGAGUCGUGAAGAUCCAUCAAUUUUCUAAGAUCAUUCGCGAUGACUGGGCGUAUCUAUAUGAAACAGCACUGACUUUCAUAUAAAGUAUCUUUGAUAGAUUCUCAAAUCCCAUUCCCCAGGAGUUUUCCCAGGGAAUUUUUCCAUUCUUGAAGCUCGAAAAACCAUUCAAAUGAUUCAUUUUUUUUUAAUAAAAAAUAUGAUUUAAGAUGUAUUUUUAUAAUGUUAAUCAAUAUUAUGAGACUAUAUUCAGGGAGAAUUUUAAUUUUUAUAGUAUUUUAUUUAUAGUUAUUUACUGCUACUUUGUUCUCUUUGAACUUGAUAUAUAUAAAUCAACCAAAUCUACGAGAAGAAUCCAAAUGAAGAGGAAAAUGGCCUAUUUUCAUGUUGAAGGCUUACAUAUCAUUGCAGAUUCAUUUCAAUAGUAGCUAUCAUCUCGUUUAACAAUGUGGACUGAAUAUAUGAUUGUAUACUGCAAGAAUCUCCCAUUCAUAAACAUGUUUUUUCACACACAUGUAUUGCAUGCGAAAUGGUUAAAACAUUAUUUUCAGUGGAUAACUAAAAAUUCAUUAUUGUGGCAGAAGAAUUAAGUAACGAAUUAUCAAUUUAAUUAACAUUUUCAGUAGAUCAUAAUUAUUAUAUACGAAUCUUCUUGUUUAUAAUUAUCAAAUAUACAAGCUCUCUUAUAUUGCUACCAUUAAAAUCAUCUCGAUCUCACUGCUGUAAAGGGACCAUCGAACCAGUAAACAUAAUUAUACAAAUAUAGAAACAGUUAAGCCAAGAAAGUAACAUUGGAAACACGUGUGUUCUUUCUAUUUCAGUUUUUCAAAUGCGGGAUAAACGUCAUUUGCCUAAAGAAGUGUUUCUUUCUUCUUUUCUUUUAUACUAAAGAAAGAAGUAGAUUUGGAAGAGAGUGCAAAGAAUCCAUAGUUUAAAAUUCGUCAAAUGGCAAAGAAUCAAAAAAAUGACUGGCAAAAAUGGAAAUGUCUGAAGGAGAAAAAUACAAAUAUAGAUGGACAAGAAAGAGAAGUGUUUUAGUGAGAAAAGCUGACAUAUUUGAAAACCACAGUGACUUCUAAAAUGAAAGAAAUAUCUGACGGUGAAAUGGAUGGAAACUCGGGACAGGAAAUCAGGAAGAAAAUAAUGAUCGGGAAACAAAAGAAGAAAAAAAAGAUUGAUGAAGAUGAAAUGGAUGGAAACUCGGGACAGGAAAUCAGGAAGAAAAUAAUGAUCGGGAAACAAAAGAAGAAAAAAA
rnacentral:lncRNA from 1 species